rnacentral:rRNA from 1 species
CGCCUGGGGAGUACAGCCGCAAGGCUAAAACUCAAAGAAAUUGACGGGGGCCCGCACAAGCGGCGGAGCAUGCGGAUUAAUUCGAUGCAACGCGAAGAACCUUACCAAGGCUUGACAUAUACUGGACCGCAUCAGAGAUGGUGUUUCCCUUCGGGGCUGGUAUACAGGUGGUGCAUGGUUGUCGUCAGCUCGUGUCGUGAGAUGUUGGGUUAAGUCCCGCAACGAGCGCAACCCUCGUUCUAUGUUGCCAGCACGUUAUGGUGGGGACUCAUAGGAGACUGCCGGGGUCAACUCGGAGGAAGGUGGGGAUGACGUCAAAUCAUCAUGCCCCUUAUGUCUUGGGCUUCACGCAUGCUACAAUGGCCGGUACAGAGGGUUGCGAUACUGUGAGGUGGAGCUAAUCCCUAAAAGCCGGUCUCAGUUCGGAUUGGGGUCUGCAACUCGACCCCAUGAAGUCGGAGUCGCUAGUAAUCGCAGAUCAGCAACGCUGCGGUGAAUACGUUCCCGGGCCUUGUACACACCGCCCGUCAAGUCACGAAAGUUGGUAACACCCAAAGCCGGUGGCCUAACCCUUUUGGGAGGGAGCCGUCUAAGGUGGGAUUGGCGAUUGGGACUAAGUCGUAACAAGGUAACCGUA